rnacentral:rRNA from 1 species
CCUACGGGGGGCAGCAGUGGGGAAUAUUGCACAAUGGGGGAAACCCUGAUGCAGCGACGCCGCGUGAGUGAAGAAGUAUCUCGGUACGUAAAGCUCUAUCAGCAGGGAAGAAAAUGACGGUACCUGACUAAGAAGCCCCGGCUCACUACGUGCCAGCAGCCGCGGUAAUACGUAGGGGGCAAGCGUUAUCCGGAUUUACUGGGUGUAAAGGGAGCGUAGACGGGAGCACAAGUCUGGAGUGAAAUCCCGGGGGCUAACCCCGGAACUGCUUUGGAAACUGUGCGGCUGGAGUGCAGGAGGGGUAAGCGGAAUUCCUGGUGUAGCGGUGAAAUGCGUAGAUAUUAGGAGGAACACCGGUGGCGAAGGCGGCUUACUGGACUGUAACUGACGUUGAGGCUCGAAAGCGUGGGGAGCAAACAGGAUUAGAUACCCCGGUAGUC